AUACACCCGGUCAAAUUCCCAUAUUUGACCGGUAAUAUCUCAGGAACCAAGCCGACUUUGGGAUCCAUGCCCUGGGGUCAUGGGGGUCACAAGGGUCCCUACCCAUGCCCAUAGUAUGGGGCUCCAAAUCGGCUUAGUUCCCGAGAUACACCCGGUCAAAUCUCAUCCAGGGGGAAGCCUAUAGGGCACCCGUCAAAUAGGUUACAGGAUGGAUGCUGUUUCUGACUUAGACAUUUUCAGCGGGUCAGAUCCUGUAAAGAUUUGGGGAUUUCACCAUAUGUGGUGAAGUCCAGUCAGUAACUUAUUAAGCUACAGGCUGGAUGCUGAUUUUGACCGGGUGUAUCUCGAGAACCAAGCCGACUUUCGGCUCCAUACUCUGGGGUCAUGGGGGGCACAAGGGUCCCUACCCAUGCCCGGAGAUUGGAGCUCCACGUCGGCGUGGUUUCCGAGAUACACCCGGUCAAUUUCCCAUAUUUGACCGGGCAUAUCUCAGGAACCAAGCCGACUUUGGGAUCCAUACUCUGGGGUCAUGGGGGGCACAAGGGUCCCUACCCAUUCCCAGAGUAUGGAGCUCAAAGUCGGCGUAGUUUCCGAGAUACACCCGGUCAAUUCUGAACCGGAAGUGACUGUAUCUCGGAAAGGGAAGGUUCCAGGAGCUGGGGGCGGUGGGGUCAGAAGGGGCCCUAUGGGCCCCCCUCAUGCCCGUAGUUUGGUGCUCCAACUCGGCUUAUCUCCCAAGAUACACCCGGUUAUACAUAAGGGACUUUUGGACAAAACGGACGAUAUCUCGGAAAUGACGAGGCCCAGCGGAUCGUCCUUUUGGUCGGUGAGGGUCUCCUAGGGACCCUCUCAGACCCCAGAGUCCCGAGGCUCUGGGACCCUUCCUUACGAAGUGCACCCUUUCCUG